CUCCCUGCUGCAUUGGCCAGUCGACAAAGACCUCGAGCCGAUGACCACAACCCCGGAGGGUUUCAGUCGCUGUUGUGCGCAUGUCCGACUACCGGAAAGCCUUAUUCAGCGAAUGACCCACCACCUUGAACCAUUGGGUUCAAGGGCUUUUUCCGACAGCGGUGCGGCGGGGUUC
rnacentral:other from 1 species